ensembl:lncRNA LOC120098229 uncharacterized LOC120098229
CAGCAAGGGUCAGCUGAAGUGAAACCAGGCUUUGGCUCCACAGCCAAUAUAGAGGGAGAAGAGAGACUGGAGAAAGCGACAUUGACGGGGCAACCUAAGAAGCCUAAGAGGACAGGCAGACAAACACAGUAUGGCCAGUCUCGGGUCCAGGAGGUGGUGUCUGGAGGGAAGGUUUCACAGCAUAAGGAAAGGGAAUCCUGAGAAUGUAUGGCUGUGAAAUUCGAGGAAGAUGAAGAGGAGAGUCACAUCUUGGUGAAGUGUAGCCAUUACACUGUAGGAUGUUUGGCCUCAGGAUGUAUCCCCCAGCCUCUGCACUGGGAUCCUGCAGUCUGGACACCUGAUUUGUAAAGGUCCCUGGGUGGGCCAGUGAGAGUGGCUCCUGUUCUUCUGGAAUCUGGGCAGAUAGCUUCUUGGUUACAAGUGGGAACCUCUGCUCUUCUCCGUGCUGGGAUCCCCAUCUGGCUUGGACCUGUGCAGGCUCUCUGUGAAUUCAUCUGUGUAUUAGUUGCUAUGUCUGUAAGAUACUGCUUCUGUGGAGGCAUCCACCACCAGGCCCUAUUCCUGUCCUUUUGUUCCUCCUCCCACAAUAACUGAGUUUUCUCUGAUUAACUCAUUUAAGUUUUGUACUGCCUAAAUUGGAAAGUAAAGACAAAUACAUUUUUUUCACUUUUUACCCCAUGGAAGAUUAAUGAUGUCAACUAACUGAAAAAUUAAAAGUAUG